CGGAAAAUGAAUUAUUUACGACGCGUGACGCUGAGAAAAAUAGUCCUACGCAAUAAGACGAUUUAUUUUAUUUUUAACAGUCGUAUUUUUCCACUAAUAUGGGUACCUGUUGUUGAAGCAGUAGUUGUGAUAUUAAGGCACGGCAGUUUUCUUUUAAUAAUAUUUCUGCGUUCAUAUUGUGACGUGUACGACGGUGACAAUACGC